rnacentral:rRNA from 1 species
UACGGAGGAUGCGAGCGUUAUCCGGAUUUAUUGGGUUUAAAGGGUGCGCAGGUUGUUUGAUAAGUCAGUGGUGAAAGUCUGUCGCUUAACGGUAGGAUUGCCAUUGAUACUGUUAGACUUGAAUAUGGAUGAGGUAGGCGGAAUGUGGAGUGUAGCGGUGAAAUGCAUAGAUAUUACACAGAACACCGAUUGCGAAGGCAGCUUACUAAUCCAUCAUUGACGCUGAGGCACGAAAGCGUGGGGAGUCAAACA